AUAGUUGAUUUACAAUGUUGUGCCAAUUUCUGCUAUAUAGCAAAGUGACCCAGUCAUAUAUGUAUAUAUUUUUUUUUUCUCAUGUUAUUGUCCAUCAUGCUUUAUCCCAAGAUACUGGAUAUAGUUCCCUGUGUUGUACAGUAGGAACUCAUUGCUUAUCCAUCUAAAUGUAAUAGUUCUGGUAAGGAACAUUCCAAGACAAUCCAAGGCUAUUGGUUCUGGAUGAGCCCUCGGUUUGGGGGGUGACUGUGGAGCCUCUCUGGAGGGUGGUGCUAGGCACAUCCACACACGUUCCAGGCUCAGGUGUGUCCCCCAGAGGCUGGUGCAGAUGAGGAGCAUCACAGGUUGUCAGGGGCCAAACACUGGUCCAUUCCUUCGACUCAGAAGGAAUGGGGGCUGCAGGAGGCAGAUUUCUGCAGUCACAGGAGGACAGGCAAACACAGGUACAGAAAUGGACUAAAGAGGGAUCUCUGUACUGCUUCCUAUUAAUACACUCUGGGCAUUUUUCCCCAAAGGCAAGGCAUCUCAAGGGCAGUCCAGUCUGCUCACCUCUGCAUUUUGAAAGGGGAUGGAGUGGGGUUUGUAAUGACUCCAUAUUGCCAUGAAUUAAAGUGAUAUUCAAUUAGUACCCUGUGCAUUUAAAUGACUUAUUUAUGAUGCAUAAUUGAUCAAGUUUUGUGUUCAUGGCUUUGCUGAGUCACUUGAAAAGUUUCAAGGCCUCGGAUGACAACUAAGCUUUCUCUUGGCACUUGGUGUCCCUGCCACCUGCUCUUUCAGGGCCUGUUCCACCAAAGGGGUAGCAGUUCUGGUAGCUCCUGGGUUGGUGACUUUCAAAGCAAAAAUGGCUGCCUCACAGCUGCUGAGAAGCCAGGGCAAGUCCUUGUAUUCCCGCUGCCAACUCAGGAGGGAAAGACAGAGUCAAAAGCAGGUGUGGAAACCAGACCUCGUCCUCCAGGAGCUAAUGGAGCAGAAAGGAGCGGCUGUCUGAAGUGCCACUUGAAGCAAGGGGGGCGGAGGGGUGGGGGGCAGGCCACGGCCGGUGCCUCCAGCCACACUUUCAGUGAGGAGUGAACACCUGGAUGGCCUGACUUUCUGUCGGGAAAUUUCCUUGGCUGCCUUCAUCAGUCACAAGUCUGCAGCCCAGGUGGGCUGAACAGACAGAAAAAUUGAGCCUGGAGCAAGUUCAUCUUUGGGGGUUGUGUUAGUUUGCUAGGGCUGCCAUAAAAACGGACCGCAAACCAGGUUGCUUAAACAAGAGAAAUUUAUUUCCUCGAAGUUCUGGAGGCUAGAAGUCGGAGGGUCAAGAUGUCAGCAGGGUUGGUUUCUUCUGAGGCCUCUCGUUUUCAUUUGCAAAGGGCCAUCUGCUCCCUGUGUCUUCACAUGGGCUUCCCUUUUUGCAGGUCCAUGUCCUCAUCUCACUCAUCUCCUUUUUAUAAGGCCACUGAGGCUGCUAGUCAUUUUGGAUCAGGGCCCAUCUCAUGACCUCAUUCUGCCUUUUUUCUUUUUUGGCCAUGCCUGUGGCAUGUGGAAGUUCCCAGGACAGGGAUUGAACCCGUGCCACAGCGGUAACAACCUGGGAUCCUCAACCAGCUGAGCCACCAGGGAACUCCUCCUUUUAUCUUAAUUACCUCUUCAAAGACCCUGUCUCCAAAGAGAGUCACACAGGGAGGUCCUGAGAGUUAGGAUUUCAACAUACAAAUUUAAGGGGAACAAAACACAGCCCAUAAUAAGGGCCUCUCUCCCCAGUGGUGUGAUUUCCUCUCACUGUGAAUGUCUCGCCUGGGUUACUCUCUGUGCUUUGUCCAGAAUCCAAACAACUGGCUGCUGUUGGGACUGACAAGAGAGCCGAGAAAGAAGCAUAACAUUAGCUGAGCCAACAUGAUUGCCUCUCUCAGGAAAAUAAACAGGAAAUCUGGACAGAGGCUACCUAUUGGCAGCAGGAGGAGAGACGACACAGGAGCAGGAGCUGGUGAACCAUGGAGACUGAAGAUGGUUUUCUGACCACGCAGCUGGAGGCCUGUGAGCCACUGUGCACCUGGGAAUACCUCCCAAAUCUAGUCACUCUGAGCUGCACGCACACUGGGGUUUGGGUUCUGAGGUUUCUGAGCUACACGUAGCUCUAGAUAAGAAAACCCCUUGUUUGAGCUGAUCCUGCAGUGUUAUCUGCCCCUUGCAAUGAAAACCAAAGAUAUCUCCAGAGCAGUAUAGAUAUAAAAGAAAACACAUAUGUACUUUUUUAAAUUACAGUUGAUUUACAAUAUUCUGUCUAUUUCUGCUGUACAGCAAAGUGAUCCAGUUGUACAUUUAUAUACAUUCUUUUUCUCAUAUUAUCCUCCAUCAUGUUCCAUCACAAGUGACUAGAUAUAGUUCCCUGUACUGUACAGCAGGAUCUCAUUACUUAAAUUUUUUCUUUUUUUUUUUUGUUUUUUUGUUUUUUGUCCUUUUAUGGCCACACAGAUGGCAUAUGGAGGUUCCAGGAUAGGGGUCUCAUCAGAGCUACAGCUGCCUGCCUACACCACAGCCACAGCAACACCAAAUCCGAGCCACAUCUGUGACCUACACCACAGCUCAUGGCAACGCUGGAUCCUUAAUCCACUGAGCAAGGCCAGGGAUCAAAACUGCAACCUCAUGGUUCCUACUUGGAUUCAUUUCUGCUGCACCAUGACAGUAAUACCCCAUUGCUUAAUUUUCUAGUAGCCACAUUAAAAAAAAAGUUAAAAAGAAGCCAGUAAAAUUAAUGUUCAUAAAUAUUUCAUUUAACCCACUAAGUCCAAAAUCUUAUCACCUCAACAGGUAAUAAAUAUGCAAAUGCUCCAUGACAGCAUGUAUAUAUACGUAUACACACACACAAACAUACACACAUGGGACUGUGCAAUUCUAGGGGACCAUCCCCAUCAGGACCUCCAGUCCCACCAAGCAUACAGGUAAAGCCAUUAACUGGAUGGUUCAGGUCCUAAGCUCAUCUUCUCCUUUAUUGUCCAAAUGGAGUGAUUUUAUUUCUCUAGAAUUCCAUCCAGAAUGGAAGGCAAGGACAUAUUUACCUGGGAGCCUAUGGAGGACUCUUGCUUUUAGAUUUGGAAAUAAGGGAAAGAGUGAGGUGAUACGCCAGCCUGGGAUGAAGUGCCAAGGAUUCAGCAUCGUGUGAAUUUACCCAGCUUGCACCCCGGAGGCAGGGCCGCUCUGGAAAUAUAAAACAGGGUCCAGCUUUGUCUAACUCUUAGGACAGCUAAGGCAGAGUGGACACUAUGAUCCCCCGGCCCCUUACAGAUGAGGAAACUGAAGCUGAGAGGUGAUGGGUAGCAGAGCCAAGACUCAAACCUGGAUCCCUCUAAUUACCCAAGUGGUGCUUUUCACAGUACUCAAGAUUCCAGGGACUUGGGUUUAAAAACAACUGUUAUAGAAAAUAAAGUCUGAGGUAAAGUGGGAUGUGUUAUUGUCAUUACUGUUGUAGCAUAUUAUUCAGGUUCCAGCCUCAAGCACAUUGCACAUGAACCAUCCCCCCGACCCCUCGCUUGAGCAAGUGACCCCAGCACUGGGAAGAAACUGUUCCUUCACCUUCCUGAUCUGCUGAGAAGCUGGAAGUCAGGCGAGCCUGGACCUCGAUGGUCAGGUUGCUGAAUGGGAAGCAAAAGCCAUUCCCCUUGAUGGGUGGGGUCAGAUGAAUAACAUGCUGUCUGUUCAGCAUGCAGAGCAUCUUGGAAUAAAGGCACCCUCCCAAGCUUUGUUAUAGACAGGGAUCUGCCCUCAGCAUGCCUUGCUGCCCACAAGACAAUCAUUCUUCCACUCUAGUCUCUGAACUGCUCCUGCCUCAGACCUAGCCCAGGCCUCCUGAUUCCUAAAAUUCAGUAAAAGACUCACCUGUGUGGGUCUGAGUUUAAUUAUACUCGUCUGGCAAGGGAUUUGGGGAGCUUUAAUUUAAGGCUGGUGUUGAAUGCUUUUAAAUUAUUUUAAAAUGUCUGAGGCAUCCAGGUGCAACACACAUCCUUUAUAAAUUACAGAGCAAAUGUUGUGGAGGCUGGGUGCACAGAAGGGCCAAAGAUCAGAACAGAUCCCCAAAGGAUGAAAUACAUUUCUGGCAAUGAGGAAGAGCUUAACACACACCUAUCAUUAUUGUUAAUGGGAGCGAGGUGUUCAGCUCACUCUCGGGGCAGAGCACAAUGCAAAUUUAGGUCUUGGAAUUCAGUUCCUCACUGCUCCCUGCCUGCCUGGUAGCACUGAGCCCUGGUGAAAUGUGUGUCAAGUUCUUCAAAACAAUUAUUGCUGCUAGAGGAAAAAUGAUCAGCAAAGUACUCCGAAGUUAACACCUCCUCGGAGCUGGAAAUGGAAAUGGAAAUGAAUUCUGGAAAUGUUUGCUUUCUGUUUCAGGCGAAUCCGCAGACAUCUCGGCAGCUGUGAGCAAAAUGGGAGAAGGGACUUUAACAGAUGAUAAUGUGCUUAGGAAGGAGUCUGAAAGGUCUAGAGGCCAAAGCACUGGACUGGUGGUCACACUCUGAGUUCUUGCCAUGGCUCAGCUGUGUGACCUUGGCUCAGCUACUUCACCUCUCUCGUCUCCUUGUAGGAGUCCAGCUCACAAAGGUUUUCAGACCAAUCAUUUAUGUGAGAAUCUAAUGAUGCAAAGCACUGGUAAGACAGUCUGGAAGUCCCAUCACAUGUGACUGAAAUCCCCCCAAAUGAGCAAAGUGACAAGGCAUCUGAAUUUAUACUCCUGUGCCAAGGUAAUCCCUUUCAUUCCUGGGACCACUGUGGCCCAGUUCCUAUUGGUUCCUAAAUAGAGACAUGAUCUGGGGGAAGAACCUAAGGAUGAGAUGCUAGACCCCUCUACCAGGCAGAUUCCACUUAGAAGUGGAGUCAGAAAAUUCUGACAUGGACCCCAAGGCAUGGACAAUGAUGUUAAAAUGGGACUCAUUAUGUCUCGGUUUUGGUUAAGGCCCUAGAGGCAGAGAGGUUAUCAAUGAACACUUGGAGCUAAGGAAGCUCCCAUCCAAAGUAGGUGCCAGAUAUUUUACAGGCCAUUGUGAAGAUCUGUCCACUAGCUGUCAUCUGCCUGGAAGAUUCAAAAGGGCUGAGGUGAAGGAAGUUGCCAGACUUUCUUUAGAGAGAGGUGAGAGUGUGCUCUGAGUCUGCAGGUGCUCUGUCCAAACGCUGGGGUUGAGGAGGAGGAGCAAGACUUCCCUCUUUUCAAGUCAGUUCACAUGGGCGUCAAAAGAAUCACCUGG
rnacentral:lncRNA from 1 species